GCUCCGGUGGCCAGGUGGUUAGAGCGUUAGCCUCGGACGCUGGAGAUCGUAGGUUUGAUCCCUGGUCGAGUCA